GAUGAACGCUGGCGGCGUGCUUAACACAUGCAAGUCGAACGGAAAGGCCCAAGCUUGCUUGGGUACUCGAGUGGCGAACGGGUGAGUAACACGUGGGUGAUCUGCCCUGCACUUCGGGAUAAGCCUGGGAAACUGGGUCUAAUACCGGAUAGGACCACAUUUUGGAUGGUGUGGUGGAAAGUUUUUCGGUGUGGGAUGAGCUCUCGGCCUAUCAGCUUGUUGGUGGGGUAAUGGCCUACCAAGGCGUCGACGGGUAGCCGGCCUGAGAGGGUGUACGGCCACAUUGGGACUGAGAUACGGCCCAGACUCCUACGGGAGGCAGCAGUGGGGAAUAUUGCACAAUGGGCGCAAGCCUGAUGCAGCGACGCCGCGUGGGGGAUGACGGCCUUCGGGUUGUAAACUCCUUUCGCUAGGGACGAAGCGUUUUUGUGACGGUACCUGGAGAAGAAGCACCGGCUAACUACGUG
rnacentral:rRNA from 1 species